AAAGCGUGCGCAGGCGGUUAUGUAAGACAGAUGUGAAAUCCCCGGGCUCAACCUGGGAACUGCAUUUGUGACUGCAUAGCUAGAGUACGGUAGAGGGGGAUGGAAUUCCGCGUGUAGCAGUGAAAUGCGUAGAUAUGCGGAGGAACACCGAUGGCGAAGGCAAUCCCCUGGACCUGUACUGACGCUCAUGCACGAAAGCGUGGGGAGCAAACAGGAUUAGAUACCCCGGU
rnacentral:rRNA from 1 species